UGGCCAGACUCCUACGGGAGGCAGCAGUGGGGAAUAUUGCGCAAUGGGCGAAAGCCUGACGCAGCGACGCCGCGUGAGGGAUGAAGGUCUUCGGAUCGUAAACCUCUGUCAGCAGGGAAGAACGGUCACUGUGCUAAUCAGCAGUGAAUUGACGGUACCUGCAAAGGAAGCACCGGCUAACUACGUGCCAGCAGCCGCGGUAAUACGUAGGGGGCAAGCGUUAUCCGGAAUUACUGGGUGUAAAGGGAGCGUAGACGGUGAUGCAAGUCUGGAGUGAAAGGCGGGGGCCCAACCCCCGGACUGCUCUGGAAACUGUAUGACUUGAGUGCAGGAGAGGUAAGCGGAAUUCCUAGUGUAGCGGUGAAAUGCGUAGAUAUUAGGAGGAACACCAGUGGCGAAGGCGGCUUACUGGACUGUAACUGACGUUGAGGCUCGAAAGCGUGGGGAGCAAACAGGAUUAGAUACCCCGGUAU
rnacentral:rRNA from 1 species